rnacentral:rRNA from 1 species
CCUACGGGGCUGCAGUGGGGAAUAUUGGACAAUGGGCGAAAGCCUGAUCCAGCCAUGCCGCGUGUGUGAAGAAGGCCUUCGGGUUGUAAAGCACUUUCAGUGGGGAAGAAAGCCUUGGGGCUAAUACCCUCGAGGAAGGACAUCACCCACAGAAGAAGCACCGGCUAACUCCGUGCCAGCAGCCGCGGUAAUACGGAGGGUGCGAGCGUUAAUCGGAAUUACUGGGCGUAAAGCGCGCGUAGGCGGUCUGAUAAGCCGGUUGUGAAAGCCCCGGGCUCAACCUGGGAACGGCAUCCGGAACUGUCAGGCUAGAGUGCAGGAGAGGAAGGUAGAAUUCCCGGUGUAGCGGUGAAAUGCGUAGAGAUCGGGAGGAAUACCAGUGGCGAAGGCGGCCUUCUGGACUGACACUGACGCUGAGGUGCGAAAGCGUGGGUAGCAAACAGGAUUAGAUACCCGUGUAGUC